rnacentral:rRNA from 1 species
GAUGAACGCUAGCGACAGGCUUAACACAUGCAAGUCGAGGGGCAGCACGGGAGUAGCAAUACAACUGGUGGCGACCGGCGCACGGGUGAGUAACGCGUAUGCAACCUACCUAUCAGAGGGGAAUAACCCGGCGAAAGUCGGACUAAUACCGCAUAAAACAGGGGCACCGCAUGGUGAUAUUUGUUAAAGAAAUUCGCUGAUAGAUGGGCAUGCGUUCCAUUAGGUAGUUGGUGAGGUAACGGCUCACCAAGCCGACGAUGGAUAGGGGAACUGAGAGGUUGGUCCCCCACACUGGUAUUGAGACACGGACCAGACUCCUACGGGAGGCAGCAGUGAGGAAUAUUGGUCAAUGGGCGAGAGCCUGAACCAGCCAAGUCGCGUGAAGGAAGAAGGAUCUAUGGUUCGUAAACUUCUUUUGCAGGGGAAUAAAGUGCAGGACGUGUCCUGUUUUGUAUGUACCCUGAGAAUAAGGAUCGGCUAACUCCGUGCCAGCCGCCGCCGUAAGAC